AAUUCUCUCCAUUGGCUGCCCUUCAUACAGUCCUUAGAGCUAUUUAACUACUUAGCAGGAACCACUCAACAGUCACAGCUGCACCUUAUCCACAUCAGCCAACCCACCCCAAGCCAGCCCACAGCUGUAUAUUAUCAAUGUUAAUUAACCCAGCUUCAUUCCUCUACACACCCCCAAAUAUUCUUAAUAUGGGAUUUUUUUCAUCUUGAAAAAAUGCUUCCUUUGCGAAUCCUGAACUCUCAGUGAAGCCAGUGAGAUUACCAGACAGCCAUCCUGACAUGGUGUGAGCAAAUAUAAGCUCUGACCUGUGCAGGCAAGAAUAGAGCCAACACUGGGAAAUGUUUCUUGAGUGAAAUUUCAAAACCUAAACUGGCCAGCUUUUACAUUUCAUACUCUUUUCCCCUCUGAUUUCACAUAGCUGCGCUUUCUCUCCAUCUUUCGUUAGACAAGAAUUCAAAAGAAAUUAUUUUUGGCUACAGUAAUUUUCUAUAGCUAGGGACAUUAGCUGUAACUGGAGAUUUAUUUUGAGUCAGAUGGGUUGCUCAGGGUUGGGAGGAAAAUGGGCCUGGGAUGACCGUGUUGUUGUCUGGGGAGUAUGGACUUUUUUAGGAUCGAAAAGAAAUGAGGGGAGCAUUACUUCUAGAAGCAAAGUUCAGAAGCUUAGGUGGGCUCAGCAGUGCAGAUAUACAUGCGUUUAGGAUGUCAGAUGUAGCAUGUCUGCAGAACAGCAGAGAAAGUUCAUCUGAGAUACUUAAGACCUUCAGCAUUUGACUUUGUUACUCAAAUAUGAUGUUACGCUGGACAGCCUUGAAAACUGCAUUUCAGCUUAAAGGGAGACUACAUCAGAGGUGCAGGUAAGUCCUGGAUGCUUCUGAGCACAUUUCUAAACACAGUAUCUUAAAAAAAAACAGCUGGGCUUCAGUCUGAGCAGAUAAGGGAGGACAGCUGCUGCUGGAAAUCCAGCUGGGAUGGAUUUUAGGCGUGCAUUCAUUCCUCCCUUAAUUUCUUACUAUGAAAGAUGUUUUACUGACUUACUGUGGCUUAGAAGGGAAUGACCACAUACUACGCUGAAACUUGCUACAAUUGCAAACCUGUCUUUUGGGUUCAUUUCUAUGUUUAACCUUCCUGGGGGCAGACUGACACCAAUCUGUAGAUUGUUUCUUCUGUCAGUGUUCUUUUAUUUGCAGGAUGGACACAUCUGUCUCCAAAGAAUAUGUAACUUGUUCUCCCUUAGUACAAAACUGACUUCUCUGAGUCUCUUUCUGCUGCUACACCAUUGCUUUAGGGUCUCCCCAAAUCAAGAACAGCCACUGCAGUGAUGUCAGGCUCACCUUCAGGAGGAAAAUUCCCCUUGCUCAGAGUUGGAGGAAGGUCACAGAAAGACACCAAGAGAGAGAUGUAGCCUUACGUGGGUUUUUUUCCCCCAACAUCUAACAAGCAAAGGUAAGGCUCCUGUAAAGAUGCUUUUGGCUUUUCAUGCAUACUUUGGAUUUCAGGCGAGAGAAAGCUUCACGUCUGCAUUUACCUGCAGAGGUCUGGGUGAUCUGCCUACGUGUUUCUCCUAAGAGAGUCCGGAUUACUUUGCUUUUAGCCCCUCUUCACUAAUGACUUGGAAACAGCUGAGAGAUUCUCGGCCACUGCAAGUGACACAGGAGAUUAAGCAAGACACUUAGGACUUUCAAAAUGCAUUUACUUAGGCUCAGAAAGCACGCCUCAGUUUUAAACAGCUUUCCUGUAUAAUUAUCAGUGAUUUAUAGCAGUACCUCCUUCCCAAGUCACGGGAGCCUGGAAGCAUGUUAAAUGUUACUAGUUGCCAAUGACACAUUAAAAAGUGAUUGCUUUUCCUCAGGAGCAUAAGCCUCCUCAACUGGCACUGCAAUAACUUGAGCCACCUGCACUGAUGUCACACCCAGAGAGUACCUGAUGUAAAAACCACUGGGGGAAGAGAAUUCGGCCCUGCAUUUUCAGAUCUGUUAACUGUAACUACCCAGAAUUUUGUAAGGGGUUGUGAAUACAUGGCCCGUGGAGGGGGAAGGCUACCAGGGGACAGACGGUCAUCUUAUGUGUCCCUUGCUCGUAUAUUCUUUUUUUGUAGUCCAUUUUUGACUACAGCAAGAACAACCUGGGCUACAUGGCCAGGCUGUUCCAGCUCACCUUCCCCUGUGCACUAGGUUUCCUAGGAAAUAAAAGGAGGACAGUGAGUUGCCAUUUUAAGUUUUACAUUUCUUUUUUCUUUAAUGGUGCUAUUAAAAUGUGUUCAAGUUUCUACAUGAAGAGGCUUGUCUCACAGAGCCACCCUCGUGUGGGAAGUGGCCUGUGCUCUCCUGUCUCUUACAGGAGCGUAGCAAUGGCUUGGGACAAACUGAGUGUAGGAAUGUCUGUUUCUUCCUUGCCUUCAGUUCUGUAGAGAUAGUUAAGUCAUUUAGGAUUGGUACUAGAACCUAAGAGCUCCUCUUGUACCCUUUGGUGUCUGGGUCCAGGACCUGCGUACCAUGAAACACAGGAAAUUAAUUUAGUUGGACUAUUGUAAUUUUGAUUUCACGAAUACCCAUGCAAUCGUCAUGUUCAAUGCAACGCAGUCAUUCCAAGGAGGGAAAGGAGUAGCUGUGACUCAUCCCUACAGAGUAAAUCACUGUUCUUUUACGUGUGCAUACAUUUGGAUUGAUGACCCACCAAAUUUCAAAGGGGUUUUGCGCUUCACUUAUGAUGUGGAACAGAAGUAAAAGUAACUGGCUAAAAUGUUGUGCAUUGUACCCCAAAGAAAUUUACCCUUGUAAAAUGAACACCAAGUGACAAAGAUAAAAAGCUCUUACUCAUCCUGAACUACUGCAGCUUCUUCAGCAGCAUCACAGGGAUCACAUCUCCACUUCUGUCCCAGGUGGUGUUUUUUGUUUGUUUGUUUUGUUUUGUUUUUUUUUUAAAUAAAAUAUUAGCUAGUGUGAAAAAAUACUGUAACUAAAAGGGAAGAAAGCUCUCCUAGAGCAGCCUGGGAAUCAUCUUCAUCUAUGAAGAAGGAAAGAGUUUAUAUUCUCCACAACAUAGAAUACUAUAUACCCCAUACAUUAUAUUAUAUACCCCAUAACUAAGGACGGGGAUUUCCUUUCCACAUCAGCACUGUCAUGUGGUCCUAAAACUCAAUCGGUCCAACAAGACCUCACACUCAGAGCCUGAAACACAAAUAAUAAAUAAGAGAAGGUAUUUCUGUGGGUUAGCAGAUGGCAAUUUAUUUGUCUGAAUAAUACGAUGUGAUUUUGCUGAUUGAUCCUUCUAAAGCACUGCCUUCCUGCACAGGGUCUUCCACGUAACUCCAACCCCCCAGUCCUGGAAAGCCGAGAUUGCUUUGCUGUCUCCGUCCUUACUGCCACUGGCUGCCCCCUCUGCCCACCCUUUGGCCUCCCUAAGAGGACACCUUACCUAGAAGCUGACACUUCACAGGCUGUUGCUAAAUAACCCAGCUGGGUGUGCUGGUUCCAUCUCCACCAUCAGCGCUCCCUUAUCUUAAUGCCUUCUGAACCGAGAGACUUCCACACAAAAUUUAAAACAGAGGCUUUCCCCCCCCCUUUUUGCUGCAAUGAACAAGGCGCAGUCCGUGCGACACCUGCCAUGUGAGGGAUCGGACAUUUGGCACAACCUUUCCUUCAGAAAACCAGGGAAAACCCGAAGUGAAUAAUACAUGCAAGUGUGAUCAGUUUCCCUAAGCCUGAACUUCCUUUGUACAUUCUACAACCUCAAAAAGGAAAAGGACUUCUAUUUUGAAUCUAGACGGUUGGCAUCUUCCCAAGAUACUGGGUAAAGCUGCUGGAAUCUCUCUGCCUUAAUGACAAUUCAAACGAUGGCAGGCUUAAAUUGUCUUUUCAGAUACCUCUCGCUAAUACUUUAAAAAACUAUUAGAGUUUUAAAUUAUAUCUUAUGUAAUAUUUAUAUUUUGUUUAAUAUUUAUAUAAUUAUAUUUCUGUUUUAAGAGAAUGAACACCUGAAUUCUGUCACAUGAAAAACUACCUGUGUGGGCCUUGCAGGAUUUUUUCAGCAGUGUUUUAACAAGCUCUCAUCUGGCAGCACCUGGAAGUUGCGAGAGCAGUUGAAGUUGCAGUUUCCCAUUAGAACAGAUACCUCUCAGGUAUUGUCAUUCCCCGAGCAGUUCCAGAAGUGGAAAACCAGCCCAGUUUACAACUGUUGUUCCUGCCAAUAACACACCAUUUACCUAACAGGUUGCCUAUUGAACUUUGAUUAAUAGAGCUUUUUAGGACUCUCAAGUGGUGCUUAAAUAGAAUUUUUUAAAUACUCUUGCCUAUGUAUUAGUACUAAGUGUUAGUAUUAGUGCUCUCUACAAGAAUGCGAAUUCAACUAGGCACUUCAGAUUUACUUGCCUGGCUUAAAACUGUCAAGAACCUACUUGGUGAACGUAAUUCUCGGCGGAACACAGAGGUUUAGCUGAAACCUGAAGCCAAACUGAGUGAUACGAACUUCUCUUGUCAAGGCAGUGGGUUGGAAAUUUGGCCUGGUGGGAAAAUCACCUUGCGGAGGGGGAAUUAGAGAAAAUUGGGUCCUAAUAGAAGCGUAAUAUCACAGAAAGCUUUUUUCAGAGUAAAAUACAGCUCUGCCUUUCAGGACGGCUGGCAUGCACGGAAUCUACAUCACCACAGCUCCCCAGACAGUGCAUCCUGCCAGCUCAGCACAUGCUGACGGGAAUGACAGAGGGUGGAGCGGAGCAGAGACACCGCAGCCAGGCUCUGUCGUGCUCCCUGCAGCAAGAGGAAUCUGACGGUCUGGUAAGCUUCAUAGCAGUUCUCACAUGAAGAAUAUAUGAGAUGAUGUCCAUUGCUGAACUGACCAUUGUGGUGAAAUUACUUUCCUUAGAUGAAAUAAUCUCAUUGCAAUACUAACGCACACCUCCACCCCAAAGUUACCUGCCUGCACCUCACUGGGUACGUGAUAGCAAUCAGUAACAACGAUAUCUAUGACCAGAGUCACUCAAGCUCCACCUAAAUGUGAUGGAAAUGGACCAGUCCUGGACUGAAAUCAGUCCAGACGGGGGGAAUUGUUGUCUAAGCUCCCAGAUUACCCAACUGUGAUUCAGUGUUCGCAAAGCUAGGUCAGUCUGAGUCAAUCUGAAGUUGUUAUGAAUGAAGGGAUUUCUAAUCAAGGGAGUCAGCCUUGGGGGGAUGAGAAACAAAGGACAGAUAGUGAAAAGAACACUGUUAUCUAAGUUAUGCAGAAAGAAGCCUUCCAGUGAGGAAAGUUCUAGCUAUGAGAGGAAGCAGGACGAUAAAGUGUUGCAACCCACUGACAUCAACUGAAAACGAGUUGAAAAUAGGACAAAGGUAAUUGUGGCAGCGGGACAUCGCAACCUCCAACUCAAAUAGCCCCCCUGAAAGAGGCAAACCCUGCUUGGAGAGUGUGCGGAGUUAGCAGAGACCCUCAGCAGUGCUGCCUGGGGAUGUGCCCUGAUUGUAUGGGAAGCGAGAAACUUGUAAUCAGUCCUAUGUAUGAUAAUGCAUAUGCAAUGUGCUGUGAUGUAUAAAAGGUGGACAGAUGAGGGGAGAAGUUAGGGGAGACUCCAUUGUAACUUCUGGGAUCGGUUGAUGGGCUGAACUUGUCUUCUCCCCCCAUAGGGAUGCUAUUGGGUAAGGACUUUGUUCUAUGCGCGCUAAGUAACUCUCACGCUGGCUGUUAUCAGUGAUUACAGGUUAGCUGUAUGUAGUUGGGUUGUAUAUCACGUCAAGCUUGUUUUUGCAGACAGUCGCCAUCACCAGCAAUCGCAAACCCUAAUUUGUUAUGAUUAUAUUAAUAAAGAGUGUUAUUCUGUAAA